CACCGCGGUUAUACGAGAGGCCCAAGUUGAAAGACACCGGCGUAAAACGUGAUUAAGAUAAACUUAAACUAAAGUUAAACAUCUUCAAGACUGUUAUACGUACCCGAAGAUAGGAGCCCCAACUACGAAAGUAACUUUAUACAAACUGAACCCACGAAAGCUAUAGCA
rnacentral:rRNA from 1 species